CAGAUACCCAUAAAUUCAACACACAGAUGGUAGACGAAUUCCACUCAGCCUCAUGCAUCUCCUAGGAAAAAAUCCCAAGAUUAACUCAGUUUUAACACCAUGUUCUCUGGGUCCACAAAGGAACAUGGCUGGAAAAGCAAAUACAGCACCUGCACAGUGCUCCUAAAAAUGCUGGAGAGUAAGGACAUCCGUGUAGUAGCCACAGUUGACAAGACCUAGAGCAUGGGAGCUCACUUAUGGCUACUACGGGCAUGUGGAC